CUCCCUCGGCCUCUGCGGACGCGACCCACGCAGACCACAGCCGAGCCCGCCGGACCCCGGGACUACGGAAGCCAUCCCGUCCGGCCACCCACACCCGCGCCGCGGCUGGGGCUUGGGUUGGGGACUGUGGCGGCGAAGAAGCCGGGGGAGGGAGUUCUCACAAGAUCUGAUGGUUUAAGCGUGGCAGUUUCCCCUGAGCUCUCCUUCCUGCUGGUAUGUAAGGCGUGCUUUGCUUCCUCUUCACCUUCCGCCAUGAUUGUACAUUUCCUGAGGCCUCCCCAGCCAUGCAGAACUGCAUACAACUUAGGAUUCAUAACUACAUAUAUACGGAUAGAAGUGCAUGAACAGAAAAUCUGCCCUUCUGGAAUACCAAAUGCAAAAUUAAAGUGACUACAAGCAGAAUUUGGAGAAAAAAAUAAAAGAUGCAAUAUAGUUUUUAAAAUCAUUGUUAAAAUAUAAUGAGUCUGUACUUUGCUUAAACAAUAAAAAAGUCUUCGAUUUA
rnacentral:lncRNA from 1 species